UACGUAGGCAGCGAGCGUUGUUCGGAGUUACUGGGCGUAAAGGGUGCGUAGGUGGUGAGGUAAGUCGGAUGUGAAAUCUCCGGGCUCAACCCGGAAAUGGCAUUGGAAACUACCUUGCUGGAGGAUUUGAGGGGGGAUUGGAAUACUUGGUGUAGCAGUGAAAUGCGUAGAUAUCAAGUGGAACACCAGUGGCGAAGGCGAAUCCCUGGACAGAUCCUGACGCUGAGGCACGAAAGCUAGGGGAGCAAACAGG
rnacentral:rRNA from 1 species